rnacentral:rRNA from 1 species
UACGGAGGGAGCUAGCGUUGUUCGGAAUUACUGGGCGUAAAGCGCACGUAGGCGGUGAUUCAAGUCAGAGGUGAAAGCCUGGAGCUCAACUCCAGAACUGCCUUUGAAACUAGAUCGCUAGAAUUGUGGAGAGGUUAGUGGAAUUCCGAGUGUAGAGGUGAAAUUCGUAGAUAUUCGGAAGAACACCAGUGGCGAAGGCGACUCGCUGGACAAGUAUUGACGCUGAGGUGCGAAAGCGUGGGGAGCAAACAGG